rnacentral:snRNA from 1 species
AGGUGAACAGCCUCUGGUCGA